AAAGAUUUGCGGUACCGAGAGAGAUCGAGGUUCAAUAGGGAAGAAGGUCAGAUACCUCACAGCCCCCGCUACUGUAUUUCGCUUUUCGCCGUUCACUGCCGACGCGGGAAGGACGGCGUUAUUUAAACGGGCGAAAAUAAGUCAGGAGACCUGCCGCAACAUC
rnacentral:ncRNA from 1 species